ensembl:snoRNA
ACCCUCCAGAUACCACUCCCUCAGAACUCAGCAUUGGUCUGAGCGGUGAUUGCCGGAGGAAAAGUGAAACUGAAGUGCACUUGGUGUCUUUAAUGACUUACCAGUUCAUCUCAAACAUUA